rnacentral:rRNA from 1 species
AUUGAACGCUGGCGGCAGGCCUAACACAUGCAAGUCGAACGAGUGGCGGACGGGUGAGUAAUGUCUGGGAAACUGCCCGAUGGAGGGGGAUAACUACUGGAAACGGUAGCUAAUACCGCAUACCAUCGGAUGUGCCCAGAGCGGAUUAGCUAGUAGGUGGGGUAACGGCUCACCUAGGCGAAGAUCCCUAGCUGGUCUGAGAGGAUGACCAGCCACUCCGGAACUGAGAUACGGGUCAGAAUCCUAAGGGAGGAAGCGGUGGGGAAUAGUGCACAAAGGGCGCAAGCCUGAUGCAGUCAUGCGGAGUGUAUGAAGAAGGCCUUCGGGUUGGAAAGUACUUUCAGCGAGGAGGCGUUACUCGCAGAAUAAGCACCGGCUAACUCCGUGCCAGCAGCCGCGGUAAUAC